rnacentral:rRNA from 1 species
UACGUAGGUGGCAAGCGUUGUCCGGAUUUACUGGGCGUAAAGGGCGUGCAGGCGGUCUGUUAAGUGCAGGGUGAAAGCUCCCGGCUCAACUGGGAGAGGUCCUUGCAUACUGGCGGACUUGAGGGGGGUAGAGGAAAGUGGAAUUCCCGGUGUAGUGGUGAUAUGCGUAGAUAUCGGGAGGAACACCUGUGGCGAAAGCGGCGCACUGGACCACAACUGACGCUGAGGCGCGAAAGCUAGGGGAGCAAACAGG